rnacentral:rRNA from 1 species
UACGGGGGGUGCGAGCGUUGUCCGGAAUCACUGGGCGUAAAGCGCGUGUAGGCGGCCAUGUAAGUCCGUUCUGAAAGCCCGGGGCUCAACCCCGGGAGGCGGAUGGAUACUGCAUGGCUCGAGUACGGAAGAGGCGAGUGGAAUUCCCGGUGUAGCGGUGAAAUGCGCAGAUAUCGGGAGGAACACCAAUGGCGAAGGCAGCUCGCUGGGACGGUACUGACGCUGAGACGCGAAAGCGUGGGGAGCAAACAGG